rnacentral:tRNA from 1 species
UCCCUGGAGGCUUUGAUGGUAAAGAGUCUGCCUGCAGUACAGGAGACCCAGGUUUGAUCCCUGGCUUGGGAA